AAUAAAGUGGGCCGAAGCCCAUCUACCUCGUCAUGAACCCACCACCCGAAACCCUCGCUCAUCAUCCUCCUCCCCCGACCCGAGCCGCCAACCACCAUCCGCCUCCUCCCGCUUCCGAGUCCUGCGAAGCUCGAAGGACCUCCAAUCCACCGGCCUCCUCCCUCCUCAAAGAAGACGCGGAGCAGCCCGGGGCAAACCUUGACGCCACCUGCCUCGAGGAGUCAUGUUGAGGAUUGAGAUGGGCCGCCGAGGAGAGGGAGACGGACACCUCCACUCUAUCCUCCCCCACCCAGCCGCCCUCCUCUCUCGUCUGCUGCUACUCCCCCACAUCAGGUGCCUCUCACACCUCCUCCGGGGCAUGCUCAUACCGACCGAUGGAUCCGGCCAUCGCCGCCUCUACAGCAUGGAUCAGGCCUCCGCCACACAUCCUGGGAGGAUGGAGGCACGAUGCCCUCCUCAUACUGCGAUCAAGAGCAACAUCAUGCAGGGGCGGCUCGAGGCAUAUGUGCCCGAGAUCUGGGGAUGGACGCCUGGAUCCCACCAGCGCGCUUGAUCUUGUUUUGGAACAAGUUUCGGUUGAAUCUAAGGUGAAACCCUGGAAUCUUCUAUGAAAAUCGCAUGAAAAUUUCAUGGAUCUAUUAGGAUAUGAAUCUAUGUUGGAUAUCAUGGUCAACUGUCCGUGUAGGUUAGAGAAUAUAGAGGAGUGUGCAGUGCCUUAUUUACCAAGCCUAUACGAACAAUUUGAUGUAGUUUUAUGCUUGGUUGAUUCGUCAUUGAGAUAGUCUGGCACAUAGAAAUAGCCAAAUACAUCAGCAGUUGUUUCGCAGGGGCCAUCAUUAUCUUAGCCAUUGCUUCUAUCUAUGUCAGCAAUUCAAGCCACUAGCCACCACUGUCCGGUCAGUUGAUAUCUCUUAGAAAUUUGUAUUAAACUUAUUUGGAUAUUAAUAUGCAUGUUCCUUUGCGUGAGAUAUUGAGCAUGGGAAGACAAAUUGAGUUGUGAUAUCAUUAUCUAUGUCUCGUUCUUCUGCAAAUGUUAUGAAGCUUUGAGCUGUGAAGUUGAGCUUCAGCCUGAUGGAUACAGCUUGCAUGGCUAGAUAUUCUCAUUUCUAAAACUAUAUAGUUAGGAAAGUCAACAAUUCAUCAGGCAACAAUUUGUUUACUUCCUCCAUGCAUAGGAAAACAGUAUUUUUUCUGCCGCCACACAUGCGUGAUGUUGUCUCUUUCGAACAUGCUAUUUUACAUUCCCUUGUUUUCCGUGUGAAAAGCCAAGACUGAUAUAAAAAAAAUUAGUGAUUAGCGGCGGGUAAAUAUUACCCUUCUUUGAUUUGUAAGCAUAUGCGUACUAGCUAAAUUACUGUUAUUUUUGGUGAUGCAUCAUGAUAGCCUUCCGUAUUUUUUGCUUUAUAAUGUGUAAGCAUGAUUGUCUAAUUUGAUUUCAGAGCGGAUAUAUCUUUGAGUCUGUGUAUAUUUUAAAUCGAGUACUCCAAUGUGGAUAAAUCGUAAGGAAAUUACCCAUCAUGUGAUGUCUAUACUUAUGUUUCCAUAUAUAUAGUCUACUAUGGGAUAAAUGUACCGAAAGACCAGAAUAAGGUAAUUUUUAGCUGUGUGGGGGUACAAGUCCACUAUGAUUCUUCCUUCCUUUAUUGUUUUUAGUAAAGUGAAUCUCUAUAAAUCCCAUACUUAUUUGCUAUUGUACUCGGAAGCUUUAGCUGGUUCAGCACUUGCAAGCACUCAUUUCUCUACUACAAGUUGGUCGGUACACCAUGGAAUCUUAUGCAUUGGUGGAGGAGCUCGAGAGCUCAGUACAGAUACGCCCAACGUCCCGCACCUCUCAGCCAUCGGGCCCAAUACGUGUUCCAGUUCAGCAUCAUCGCGUCCCAGAGCCAUCAGGAUCAGUAAGGAGCAUCCGGGAUUAAAGAACAAAGAUGGUUACAACCGAACGCCGUUUCAAUCUGAGAACCUAGGUGAAUAGCAAAAUCUUUGGCUGUGAUUCUGUUUGUUAGUCGGCAAGUUGGUAGUAGUAGAUUAAGUAGUCAAAAUGGUCUACUAUGUUGCUAUAUAUUGGUUGAUGCAUGGAUCUUUUGACGAUAAGAAAAGAAGACAUGCCAAAGAAGAUUAUUCAAAUAGUACAGGAAGUGCUUAUUGAUGAUGAAAA